rnacentral:rRNA from 1 species
CGGGGAAUAUUGCACAAUGGGCGCAAGCCUGAUGCAGCCAUGCCGCGUGUGUGAAGAAGGCCUUCGGGGUGUAAAGCACUUUCAGCGGGGAGGAAGGCGGUGAGGCUAAUAACCUCACCGAUUGACGUUACCCGCAGAAGAAGCACCGGCUAACUCCGUGCCAGCAGCCGCGGUAAUACGGAGGGUGCAAGCGUUAACCGGAAUUACUGGGCGUAAAGCGCACGAAGGCGGUCUGUCAAGUCGGAUGUGAAAACCCCGGGCUCAACCUGGAAACUGCAGUCGAAACUAGCAGGCUAGAGUCUUGUGGAGGGGGGUAGAAUUCCUGGUGUAGCAGUGAAAUGCGUAGAGAUCUGGAGGAAUACCGGUGGCGAAGGCGGCCCCCUGGACAAAGACUGACGCUCAGGUGCGAAAGCGUGGGGAGCAAACAGG